AUGUGGGAUCUUAGUUCCCCGACCAGGGAUUGAACCUGUGCCCCCUGCAGUGGAAGCACAGAGUCUUAACCGCUGGACCACCAGGGAAGUCCCUCUUAGCUGUACUUUAAAUUUCAUUGUGCAAAUGGACCAUUUUUGAAUAACUGGUAUUUACAAAAGUUGAUCCUUCACUGGCAGUUACAACAAACAAACUGUUCAGAGCCACUGGGAUCAAUAUUAUUCUCCCUUGGAGCUUGGAUUAAAUAAACUGGUAUUGAAGAUGAGAAGGUAAAAAGCAUGGGGGCAUGAAUUUUGGUUUCAGGAUACCAAUUACAGCCAGAGUUCACAGUGAAUUAUUUAUAUUUCUGUCAUCUGAGGACUUCCAGAGGGCAAUUGGGUUAAUUCACAUACUGUAAUUCUCCAAUUCUAAUAAACUGUGGAGAGUUCUUAAUUGGUAAUUAGAAAAUGAUUAUACCUUUUCGGUAAAAACCACAUUUCUUUGACUAUAUUGAUGUGAUUAUGCAAUUACAUUUCAAAUCAGCUUGAAUAAUGUUCAACACAAGAAUUCUAAUUCUGGUCUGAUCUGCCAGGUAGCUUCGGCAUGGGCAGAUAUAUGGGUGUCCUCAAGUGUGAGCACACUGUUCCUGGUUUUGAAGUGGUUUCUCAACUCGUUCUAGUGUUCUUUGCAACAUGUGAGGUGGCAGCAGGGGUUUAAUGUCACCGUUCAGUCUUAAUUUUGUACAUAAUUCCUUUUUAAUUAUGACUUAAGUCUUUCAUUUUUAUGGAAACCAAGUGGCUCUAUUUCAAUAUUAUUUUCUUUUACUUAAUAAGAACAUACUGUAGUUAAUCAAGAAAUACCUCUAAUGUACAUUUACAAUGAUCAGACCAAGAAGGAGAAUUUAAUAAUAAUAAUAAUAAUAAUAAUAAUAACAAUAAUAAAUUGGUUAUUCCCAAAUGUAGCAAUCCACAUAAAUACAGCUCUGGAGAGUUGAUAAAGAGUAGAGAUUUGAUGGAGUUCAAACAGUGGCACUUUUGAGAAUCUAAGAGUAUGAGAACCCAAAUGGGGACAUUGGGAUAGGAAGUUUUAGUGCUGCCCAGGUUAAACUGGGAUAUGUGGUAACCCUAAUCAUGGUUAUGUCUAUGUAUGUGUAAUAUAUGGCUGUUGUGCUACAUAGACCUACUUGUACCUAAAUGAAGAAAUCAACAUAUAUGCAUUUCCGUAUAUGCAUUCACUUCAGUGGCUACUCUGUGCCAGGCACACUGGGAAAUGGAUAUACUGAGUUCAAUGAGACUCAGCCCCAGGGCUUGCAGAAACCGUAUCUUGUGAACGUGGUAAAUCCUGAGGGAGAGGUACAGAUGACUGAGGUGGAGGAGUGUGUGUGUGCCGGGGGCAGAUGCCGUCAACGGCUGUACUUCUCCAGCCAACUCCACUACAUCCCUUCCUUAGUCUUUGAUGCUGAUGUUUCAAACUGGUAUAAACACCUCACACUGGCGUUUGAAUUAGUUUGUUUUUAACAUUGUAUGGGGCUAUCAGGAAAAUGCUUCUAGUUUUCAAAAGGGCGGGACUGGGCAUGUAUGAUUCAUUUAAAGCUGCACUGUCCACUAUGGUAGCCACAUGUGGCUAUUUAAUUUAAAUUAGUGAAAAUUAAAUCAGAUUAAGAGUUCAGAUCCUCAGGUGUACUAGUCACAUCUCAAGUGCUCAGUAGCUGAAUGUGGCUAAUGGACACCAAAUUGAACAACACUACAUAGAACAUUUUCAUCAUCUUAGAAGUUUCUCUAGGAGAGCACUGAUUUAAAUGAAUCCCACACCUCUAAAUGCACAUAGUAAUUUCCUUCCCCUUUAAUAUCAGCAUGUUUAGACCAUUGCACAUUCUGCCAAAAGUCUGUGAAAUGCUUUCAUUCACUCAUUUACUCAUACAGCACUUAUUCAUUAAGUACCUAAUAUGUGCCAGGCACAGGAAUGAAGAAGAUAGAAAAAGGACAUGCAUGUUAUUCUCAUUUAAUUAAAACAAUUUAGGUAUUGUAGGUAUUGAAAAUGUCUUCCAAUGAUUAAGCCUUCUAACUGGGAAGCAAAUUAAUUUAUGUUCAGCUUCCUAACAUGGCACAGUUGGGAAGUAACAAAUACAGCAUAAAAUAUGGGCAAGGAAAGUAAAAUAGGAAAGUAUAGUGAUCAGUGAUCUCAGAGCACCUCUACCAUUGCUUAUUGAUUUUCUUCUUUCAUUUUCAGAAAAACUAUUAUUUAAUAACUUCAAAACUCAAGAAGAUGACUGAAGGUUAUAAAAAAGUGUACCUGAGAGUAACUUUCAAAUGAGAUGCCUUCCACUGCCCAUGGGAACAGUUCUUCUCAUCCCUUUUCUGACAAAGGAAUAUCAUAAAGACAAAAUUGAAAAAUACUUCCCCAUGUGAAGGAGCUUUGGUUCAGCUGCAGAGCUAAACUCACGUCUGCACUAAAUUGGAAUUGGCUGUGAAUGAUUACAAAUGAAAAUCUGUUGUUGCUGAAGGUUCUUAUUUGCAACAAAAGACAAGAACAGGAACAAAGAAAAUGCAACAUACAAUGCAGUAUUAGAACUUCAAAGGAAAACAAAAUGCAUGUUUACAGCUCUAUUUCAGUCUAAUUUAUAUACAGUAAAAUGCAAAGGUCUUAAGUGU